GAACAACUCAGUGAUGGGGGCUAUGCUCUGAAUAAAAGCCACCAACCUUCUCAGAUGCCAGGUGGUUGCAUUGGCUCUGAUGACUGAUGCCAGCGACUCCGUCUGAAUGAUUCAGAUCACUGACUGAUCCGAAUCACGACGUUGCUAGACAGGACAAAGGCUAGCAGAAACCGGAUUCCUCCAUCUGUGUUCUGGACUCCUGUGAUCUCCUUCCUGAUUCCUCGUGUCUGUGUGGAGAUCCCCAUCCUGGAUUUCUCUCCUUCUCUCUGCCACUCCUCCUGGUAACCAAGUCUUUACCUGUUUUCUCACUUCUCUUACCGGCCUGUCCCCCUUUUCGACAUGCCAAGGCUCACCAGCUCCUACUGGGAAAGAAAGGACAAAACGUUACCGGACGAUCAUACACUUCCCAAAGUCAGCUCUGGGUGGACUCACUUUCCCCUGGAACCCCAACCAUCUCUGCAUCUGCAAGCUCCUCUCAUUAAUACCAGUCCAUUUUUCAUCUCCUGAAACCAAAUCUAAUUAGCGACUUACCUGUUUUCCCAGCGUCUGGAAACUCGGUCCUGAGAAGCCACCAAACAUCAUUUAUGUGUAUUCUUACAAUAAAGGUCUUUGUAUAACA